rnacentral:snoRNA from 1 species
ACCUGCAUUCAAAAGAGAUCACGGGCUAUCUGUGCCCUGGUCGUUGAUAAUGCAGGGAGAGGAAUUAUUGAAAGCAGUUUCCCGUGUUUGGAGGGUCUAUACUUGUCCCUUUCAAAUGCUGACGCUUUCACACA